GUCCACGCAGUAACGAUGAUAGCUCGUUGUCGGCGAUACAGUGUCGGUGACUAAGAGAAAUCGAUAAGCUAUCCACCUGGGGAGUACGUUCGCAAGAAUGAAACUCAAAGGAAUUGACGGGGCCCGCACAAGCGGAGGAACAUGUGGUUUAAUUCGAUGCAACGCGAAAACCUUACCCACCUUUGACAUGUACGGAAUCCUUUAGAGAUAGAGGAGUGCUCGAAAGAGAGCCGUAACACAGGUGCUGCAUGGCUGUCGU
rnacentral:rRNA from 1 species